rnacentral:lncRNA from 1 species
UAGAGUUCCAUGGGGGCUAUGGGGCAGAGCUAUGGGGCAGAAUAUGCGGCUGCCCAAUAGGGUUCCAUUGAGGCUAUAGGGCAGAGCUAUGGGGCAGAGCUAGGGGCAGGGUAUGGGGCUGUGGGGCAGCUGUGGGUCCUGCUAUGGGGCAGGGCUGUGGGUCCCGCUAUGGGGCAGCUGUGGGUCCGGCUAUGGGACAGGGCUAUGGAUCCCGCUAUGGGGUUGGGCUGUGGGGCUAUGGGGCAGGGCUGUGGGUCCCGCUAUGGGGCAGCAUAUGGGGCAGCUGUGGGUCCGGCUAUGGGGUGGGAUUAUGGGGCAGGGAUUUGGCGCUGUGGGGCAGGGCUGUGGGUCCCGCUAUAGGGCAGCUGUGGGUCCCGUUAUGGGGCAGGAUAUGGGGCUAUGGGGCAGCUGUAGAUCCCGCUAUGGGACAGGGCUGUGGGUCCCGUUAUGGGGCAGGAUAUUGGGCUAUGGGGCAGCUGUGGGUCCCGCUAUGGGGCAGGAUAUGGGGCUAUGGCGCAGGGCUGUGGGUCCCGCUAUAGGGCAGGGCUGUGGGUCCCGCUAUGGGGCAGGGGUGUGGGUCCCGUUAUGGGGCAGGAUAUGGGGCUAUGGGGCAGCUGUGGGUCCCGCUAUAGGGCAGGGCUGAGGGUCCCGCUAUGGGGCAGGGCUGUGGGGCUGUGGGUCCCGCUAUGGGGCAGUGGCACGAAGGGGCAGAGCUCCGGCCCCGUUGACGUCACGGACCAAUGAGGGGAGAGAGGAGGCGGGGCUUCAGACAAACCACGCCCCCUACGGCGCGCUGCCCCUCCCGGGGCGGCUCUGGGCACAGCGCCCCCCUGUGGGGGGGAGGACCUGCGGGAGGACCGAAUCUAUGGGGCGCCCCACGACCGCUAUGGGGCGAUCCCAAAACCACCGAACCCCGCUAUGGGGCUGCCCCACAACCCCCCCACACCCCACAAAACCCACACACCCCAUACACCCCCCCCAACACCCCUUAUAGGGCGCCCCACGGCCCCCCCACCCCAUAGCCCC